CCGUGCUAGCUGGGGAGGCAGCGGAUCCCUGUACUCGAAAUCCGCUAUAGCGAGAGUGACGCCCGCCUUCGGCUCCUUCUCUGUAGAGUCUGGCCUUGGUAAGUGAUGUUGACGGCUUAGUCUCACGCAAUAGACCUUUAUGAACCGCGUCAGAUCCGGAAGGAAGCAGCGCUAAAUAAUUGGCUCUAUGUGCCGUGAGGGCGCUUGGCACGAGUUAACUGCCAGGAGACCGUCUGGAGAGAAAUGUCAACGGCGGGCGCACGG
rnacentral:SRP_RNA from 1 species